UGCUCACAUAAAUUAGCCUUCACGUGGCGUGAGUGUUUAAACUGAUAAUUU
rnacentral:ribozyme from 1 species